rnacentral:snRNA from 1 species
AACGCACCGCACUGUGCG